rnacentral:rRNA from 1 species
CGCCUCUUGCCCAAACAUAAGAGGUCUAGCCUGCCCAGUGACAAAAUUCAACGGCCGCGGUAUACUAACCGUGCGAAGGUAGCAUAAUCACUUGUUCUUUAAAUAGGGACUCGUAUCAACGGCAUCACGAGGGCUAUACUGUCUCCUUUAUCUAAUCAGUGAAACUGAUCCCCCCGUGAAGAAGCGGGGAUACAAUUAUAAGACGAGAAGACCCCAUGGAGCUUUAAACCCAACACACACCUCUUCACCCAGAUAUCAAUUUAACCAAAGAGGCCUGCGCAUUGGUUUUAGGCUGGGGGGGCCACGGAGUAAAAUUAAACCUCCAUAACAAAUGGGCUAAUACCCUUAUCCGCGAUAUUACAAAUCUAAGAAUCACCAAAAUGAUGUUUAAUGACCCGAUAAUUCGAUCAAUGAACCAAGUUACCCUGGGGAUAACAGCGCAAUCCACUUCAAGAGCCCCUAUCGACAAGUGGGUUUACGACCUCGAUGUUGGAUCAGGGUAUCCUAGUGGUGCAACCGCUACUAACGGUUCGUUUGUUCAACGAUUAAAACCC